GUCUCUUCAGAGACAUCCGAUCAAAUUGAAACGUUACAAAGAAGAUUAGCAUGGCCCUGUGCAAGGAUGACAUGCACAAAUCGAGAAAUGGUCCAAAUUUUU